ACAAUCUAAGGUUGUACCACCAGUAAAUUCUGUGUGCCUUUGUUCGAAAUACAAACUUAGCUUCAAAACUUCAGAGUCUACAAUCUCGGCUCUCCAACGGUGCGUCGGUGCUCGCUAGUAGUCCAAACUUCGGCACCGCGACUCGGGCCCAGCAUUUCACUAGAAAUCUGUGGCCCAACGGCCGAUGGCGCGUCGGACUCUUACGAUGACUGACAUAUCUACUUUGGC
rnacentral:lncRNA from 1 species